rnacentral:rRNA from 1 species
GUAAGCCUACGGGGGGCAGCAGUGAGGAAUAUUGGUCAAUGGCCGAGAGGCUGAACCAGCCACGUCGCGUGAGGGAUGACGGCCCUACGGGUUGUAAACCUCUUUUGUCGGGGAGCAAGACCCGCCUCGUGCAGGCGGAGCGAGAGUACCCGAAGAAAAAGCAUCGGCUAACUCCGUGCCAGCAGCCGCGGUAAUACGGAGGAUGCGAGCGUUAUCCGGAUUUACUGGGUGUAAAGGGAGCGUAGACGGCAGCGCAAGUCUGGAGUGAAAUGCCGGGGC